UGAGUAAUGGCAAGGAACGUGCCUCUGUCAUCGACAUACCUUACCGAAAGGUGAGUUAAUAUCGGAUGGUAUAUGGGUUUAAAUCCAUAUUAAAGAUGCAAAUCGGACAGAGAUCGGCCUUGUUCCUAUCAGCUUGUUGGCGGGGUAAAGGCCCACCAAGGCGACGACGGGUAGCUGGUCUGAGAGGAUGAUCAGCCACAAUGGAACUGAGACACGGUCCAUACACCUACGGGUGGCAGCAGUUGGGAAUAUUGCGCAAUGGGCGAAAGCCUGACGCAGCGACGCCGCGUGAAGGAAGACGGCCUUCGGGUUGUAAACUUCUUUUAUAGGGGAAGAUUGUGACUGUACCCUAAGAAUAAGGGCCUGCUAACUACGUGCCAGCAGCAGCGGUAAUACGUAGGGCCCGAGCGUUAUCCGGAUUUAUUGGACGUAAAGCGCAUGCAGGUGGGUUAAUAAGUCGGAUUUUAAAUUUCGAGGCUCAACUUCGAACUUGGAUCCGAAACUAUUUUUCUUGACAAUAGCAGGGGUAAGCGGAAUUCCCGGUGUAGCAGUGAAAUGCGUUGAUAUCGGGAGGAACACCAAUGGCGAAGGCAGCUUACUAGGUUAUUUGUGACACUGAGAUGCGAAAGCGUGGGUAGCGAACAGGAUUAGAUACCCUGGUAGUCCACGCCCUAAACGAUGCAAACUAGGUAUCAGAAGCAUCGACCCUUCUUGUACCGAAGCUAACGCGUUAAGUUUGCCGCCUGGGGAGUACGGCCGCAAGGCUAAAACUCAAAGGAAUUGACGGGGACUCGCACAAGCGGUGGAGCAUGUGGUUUAAUUCGAUGAUAAGCGGAACACCUCACCAGGGUUUGACAUCUUUAGGACCCCGCAGAAACGCGGGGGUGCCCGUAAGGGAACUGGAAGACAGGUGCUGCACGGUUGUCGUCAGCUCGUGUCGUGAGAUGUGGCCUUAAGUGGUCAAACGAGCGAAACCUGUAUCCUGUGUUAAUUUUUCACUGGAGACUGCCUCGGUUUACGGGGAGGAAGGUGCAGAUGACGUCAAAUCAGCGUGGCCCUUACACCCUGGGCAACUCACGUGCUACAAUGGUAAGUUUACAAAGGUUGCCAAGUCGUAAGACGGAGCUAAUCCCAUAAAGCUUGCCCCAGUACGGAUUGAGGGCUGAAAUUCGCCCUCAUGAAGCCGGAAUCGCUAGUAAUCGCGGAUCAGCACGCCACGGUGAAUACGUUCUCGAGUCUUGUACACACCGCCCGUCAAGUGAGCCGAGUCGGCGGGGCCCGAGUUCCGAAG
rnacentral:rRNA from 1 species